UACGGAGGGUGCGAGCGUUGUCCGGAAUCACUGGGCGUAAAGGGCACGUAGGCGGCUUUUUAAGGGUGCGGUGAAAGCCCGGGGCUUAACCCCGGGUCGGCCGUGCCGACUGAAAAGCUGGAGCACUGUAGAGGCAGGUGGAAUUCCGGGUGUAGCGGUGGAAUGCGUAGAGAUCCGGAAGAACACCAGUGGCGAAGGCGGCCUGCUGGGCAGUUGCUGACGCUGAGGCGCGACAGCGUGGGGAGCAAACAGG
rnacentral:rRNA from 1 species